UACGUAGGGGGCAAGCGUUGUCCGGAUUUAUUGGGCGUAAAGAGCGUGUAGGCGGCCAGGUAGGUCCGUUGUGAAAACUCGAGGCUCAACCUCGAGACGCCGAUGGAAACCAUCUGGCUAGAGUCCGGAAGAGGAGAGUGGAAUUCCCGGUGUAGCGGUGAAAUGCGCAGAUAUCGGGAGGAAUACCGAUGGCGAAGGCGGGUCUCUGGGCCGAAAUUGACGCUGAGGAGCGAAAGCGUGGGGAGCGAACAGG
rnacentral:rRNA from 1 species